GUGAACCUGGGAGACGGAGCUUGCAGUGAGCCGAGAUCGUGCCACUGCACUCCAGCCUGGGCGACUGAGCGAGACUCUGUCUCAAAAAAAAACAAGGACAAAGCAAUUGUAACAAUAGGUGUAUAAGCUAAAUCUAGCUUCUAAAACUAAAGCCUGUUAGAUGUCACAAUGAUAAUGCUUGUAUUUCCAAGUACAGAAGAAAGACUAGAUGAGACCAAUUAUUCUUCCCUCUACUUGUCUCUUCCUAUCUCCCUUCUCCACUUUAAGCAGAUGUAUAAGUAUCAGGCCUCCUGAAAACCUCUUCAAAGAUGAGAAACGCUAUGGAGCAUUUCUAUGACUUAUGUUUUUCCAGGGCGUGCCCUCAAGCUUUGGUUUAAUAAACCUCAAUGGACUCAGUCACUUGCCCCAGUCACUCAUUUUGGUUAACAUUUUGGUGACCAUGAAGGAACCCUCUGAGUGGAGCUUAGCUCUUUAGGCCUGCAGCGAUUCUCCUGUUUACGCUUGGUACCAACUAUCAAGCUUUAGCUUUGACUGAUUUUGUGACUUUCUGAGGAUCAGAUGCUAUUCCUUCUUGAGGUCACUGCUCUCCCCAGUUGAUUGUUUGAGAUCUGAGUUUUGUUUUGCCAUAAAAUUCCUUUACUCUUGGAGUUUUGCUCACUUCCUAUAAGGAAGGUGAGUUUUCUUCUCCUGUGCCAAUGGAGAGCAGCCUUCAGCUUGGUCCCCUCCCAGGUACAGAACAAAGGCAAGAUUAAUCAUUCUUCUGCCUACCCCACCUCUUCCUAUCUGCCUUCCCCGCUUUAAGGAAACGUAUAAACACUUGGCCUCGGCUGGGUGCAGUGGCUCAUGCUUGUAAUCCCAGCACUUUGGGAGGCCAAGGUGGAUGGAUCACUUGAGAUGAGGAGUUCGAGACCAGCCUGAGCAACAUGGUGAAACCCUGUCUCUACUAAAAAUACAAAAAUUAGCCAGGUGUUGUGGCACAUGCCUUUAAUCCCAGCUAGUUGGGAGGCUGAGGCAGGAGAAUUGCUUGAACCUGGGAGUUGGAGCUUGCAGUGAGCCGAGAUCAUGCCACUGCACUCCAGCCUAAGAGACAGAGUGAGACUCCAUCUCAAAAAAAAAAAAAAAAAAAGACAGAAAACCUGGUCUCUUGAAAACCACUUCAGAGAGAAUGCAAGCCACAGAGGUUUUCUAGGCCUCAUGUUUUCCCAGGGCGUGCCCUCAAGCUCUGGCUUAAUAAAUCUCGAUUGAUUCAGACACUUGCCUCAGUCACUCAUUUUGAUGAAUUACCAUAAGUCUCGCACAGGUCAUCAUGAAUCCACUUUCUGCCCAGGUGAUGUGUACCUAGGUGAGUCAGACGCCCAUAAGUUAAACACUCUUCUCUCUUUUCAGCUCCUCCACCCUGACGACUCAGUGCUAUGUGCUCUGGUCUGGCCCCAGCUCCCAGGUGGUUAGUAUUGAUCUAAGAAAGCAAGGGCAGGAAGGGCAGGCUGAGAAGGAAGAUAGAGGCCACGAGGCAUGGAAAGAGACAGGUGGGGCUGUCAUUAUUCAAAGGCCAUACUCUGGGUGUGUUUUAUGACUGCUUCUGGAUUUGAAAUCUUCUCCUCUUUGGGACCAUUCCAGGAAGUCACCCUCCUCCUACUUCCUUCUCAUUACACUUUCUGUCCCUAGCAUACCUCAAUUGUGGCCAGGGAAUGGCUGUGCAAGUAGUUGACAAUUGAGUAAAAAUGACUUUGUAUAUGACUGGGAACCUGGCCCUGUUUUUUUUCCAAAGAGAUUGAGGUCCAUAAAAGCCAGCUUUUAUUCCAGGCUGUGCAGUUGUGAGUGUGGUGUUAGGGAACAGGUGCAUAAGUGAAGAGUGAGACAGAAAACAAAAUGCUGGCUGUUUGUCAAAUCCUGAGAGUAGAGGGGGCAAAAAUCAUUCUGGAAGGUGGAUGUCAUUCAAGAGACCUUGGAAAUCUUAGGGUGUCCUCUGCCCAGAGGGGGAGGGGAAUGAGGUUAAAUUAUGGGUUGGGUGACAAUGGUUACACUACUUCACUUCUCUGCCUCAGUUUUAAAAAUCUGUAAAAAUGGGGAUGGUGGCACUCAGGAUGUUUUGUGAGGACUGUAGCUAGCUGGAAAGCUCUUAGGAUAGUGCCUGGUGCAUAGUGAGUGCUGCAUUAGUGUGAGCUAUUAUAAUUAUGGGAAUAGGCAAAGGUGCCACCCUGGCCAUCCAGCGUGGGCGGUAUUUUCCAGCCAGAGUCCUGGCAGUCCACCUGGAGAUGAAGAUGGUUAAGAAGGAAGUUUAACUUCCAGGAGUGGAAGGACUGGGGAGGAGUAACUCAUGCUCAACAUUCUGUGAAAAUACAUUUAUCCAACAGCAGGAAUACGUGGAGUGAAUGUGGCUUCUGUGGUAAUUAUCGUCUCCUGUUUGGGGAGCGUCUAAGAGUGUGUUGUAGGCUCAAAUGGUUUUUCCAAAAGCCAAGCCUAAAAACAGGCUUCAGGGGUGCCUUGCAAAUUAGCAUUCCUUUUGCCAAAAAAAAAGCAUUGAUUUUUUUUAAUGGAAAGCAUUCGUCUUGCUAAAAAAAAAAUCCCCUCUUGUGGCCUGGGUCAUUAGUUUUGUCUCUGUGCUAUCCUAGAUUAUAAGGUAUAAAGAGAAAGACUAAAGAAGAAUGAAUAAGGAAGUGCACAUAUAAAUUAACAGGGCAGAAUUGGGAUGGGUAUGUGUAAGUUAAGGGGACAUAGGUAUAAAUUUUUUUUUUUUUUUGAGACAGAAUUUCACUCUUUGUUGCCCAGGCUUGAGUGCAGUGGCGUGAUCUUGGCUCACUGCAACCUCUGCCUCCUGGGCUCAAGCAAUUCUCCUGUCUCAGCCUCCCGAGUAGCUGGGAUUACAGGCACCCACCACUACGCCCAGCUAAUUUUUGUAUUUUUAGUGGAGACGGGGUUUUACUAUGUUGACCAGGCUGUUCUCGACCUCCUGACCUCAGGUGAUCUGCCCGCCUCGGCCUCUCAGAGUGCUGGGAUUACAGGCGUGAGCCAUUGCACCCGGCCAUAUGUACACAUUUUAUGCGAACAUAAAAAGGACCUCUUGUUCUAAACAGACCUCUCCAUAUAAAUAAUGUGGGCUUUCUUGAGUAGAUAGCAGGCUCUAUCACAAGAACAUUCCAGCAGAAUCAAGAGAGAAUGGGUAGCUGGCUUCUUUGCUAACUGGUAGGGUAGACUGUGUAAGUUGCUGAAGAGAAAGAAGAUGAAAGGGCAGAUGGGUGAGGGUGAAAGAAACAGGAUGUUGAAAGGAAGAGACUGAAAGGAAUGUUUACCGAGGGCUCAUCAGGUACCACGCUCUGUGUUUAGUAUCUUAAUUUACUCUUGCACUGUCAUUUUCUGAUGCAGUAAGUGUCAUCCUUGUGCUGCAAAUGAGAAGAGACUGUGGGAGGUGAAGUGAGUGGUCCAGGAUCAUCCAGGCAGUUCACAGCAGAGCUGGUGUGUUUCACCUUGAAGUUUGUGCUCUGGCCUGUGAUUCAGGCAGAAAGGUGAGACACAGAAGGAAGGCAAAGCAAAUUUUUGUUGUGGGUGAUGUUUAUGAAAGUUACUUGUGUUAGGCAGAAU
rnacentral:lncRNA from 10 species